rnacentral:rRNA from 1 species
CGACAGCAAUAUGAAGGUCAGGCUGAAGACCUUACCCGAUUAGCUGAGAGGUGGUGCAUGGCCGUCGUCAGUUCGUACUGUGAAGCCAUCCUGUUAAGUCAGGCAACGAGCGAGACCCACGUCCACAGUUGCCAGCAUACCCUCCGGGGUGAUGGGUACACUGUGGAGACCGCCGCUGCUAAAGCGGAGGAAGGAGUGGGCAACGGUAGGUCAGUAUGCCCCGAAUCUCCCGGGCUACACGCGGGCUACAAUGGUUGGUACAAUGGGCAUCUACCCCGAAAGGGGAAGGAAAUCUCUUAAAGCCAAUCGUAGUUCGGAUUGAGGGCUGCAACUCGCCCUCAUGAAGCUGGAAUCCGUAGUAAUCGCGUUUCAACAGAACGCGGUGAAUACGUCCCUGCUCCUU